UACGAAGGGGGCUAGCGUUGUUCGGAAUUACUGGGCGUAAAGCGCGCGCAGGCGGUCCUUCAAGUCAGAGGUGAAAGCCCAGAGCUCAACUCUGGAACGGCCUUUGAGACUAGAGGACUUGGGUACGGGAGAGGUGAGUGGAAUUCCGAGUGUAGAGGUGAAAUUCGUAGAUAUUCGGAAGAACACCAGUGGCGAAGGCGGCUCACUGGCCCGUUACCGACGUUCAGGCGCGACAGCGUGGGGAGCAACAGG
rnacentral:rRNA from 1 species